GCCAGCGUUGCUCAGCCUGGUUAGAGGGAAACCGACUGGAGCUCUCGCCUUGUAAGCGAGGGGUCGUGAGUUCAAAUCUCACCGCUGGCU
rnacentral:tRNA from 1 species